rnacentral:rRNA from 1 species
GAUGAACGCUCGCGGGAGGCCUAACACAUGCAAGCCGAGCGGUAUUGUUUCUUCGGAAAUGCGAGAGCGGCGUACGGGUGCGUAACACGUGUGCAACCUGCCUUUAUCUGGGGGAUAGCCUUUCGAAAGGAAGAUUAAUACUCCAUAAUAUAUUGAACUGCAUCGUUUAAUAUUGAAAGCUCCGGCGGAUAGAGAUGGGCACGCGCAAGAUUAGCUAGUUGGUGAGGUAACGGCUCACCAAGGCGAUGAUCUUUAGGGGGCCUGAGAGGGUGAUCCCCCACACUGGUAAUGAGACACGGACCAGACUCCGACGGGAGGCAGCAGUGAGGAAUAUUGGGCAAUGGGUGCAAGCCUGACCCAGCCAUCCGGGUUGAAGGACGCCUGCACUAGGGGUUGUAAAUUUCUUUUGUAUAGGGAUAAACCUACCAUCGAGAGGGUAGCUGAAGGUACUUUAUGAAUAAGCAACGGCUAACUCCGUG